UUUGGAUUUAGCCUUCCCCUUUUGCUCUUUAGAUUCAGAUUUUUGGGUAUUUUUUCAAUGAAAUUUUGAUUCUUUCUAUCAAAUAUGAACUGAAAAUGGGGUUUUUGAAAAUGGGUUGGGAGAAUUGAGUGAAAAUCUGAAUUUUUUUUUGGUGGGUUUUUUAUGGAUCUGUUCUUGAUUUGUUCUAUAAAGGGUUGGAAGAAAGGUGGAAGAAGAAGAAGGAGAAGAAUGGGCAGGCGUUGUUUGCAGGAGUAGCAUCUUCAAGAUUCACAAGCUGAAUAAUUCAACCUGAGAAUCUUGAUGAUGCUGCAUCAGCAAUAAAACGACUAUAUACUCCAUAAAGACAAGGCCUCAAGGACCUUUCUUUAGCCUCACCAUUCUAUUGCUAAGUGGUGCCCAUCCGAUCACUCGACGGCCUAGACGAAUGCCAUGAUGCGAUCGAGAAAAACGGUGCAUCAUCUAACACACCACAGGAAGUGGGCAUUGAAGACAAGUUGAGACAUAAGCAAGAUAGAGACAUCGAAUAGACAUGAGGGGCAAAGAUUGGCUUGUUGAAGGGCCGGGUAGAGGGCCACUUGAGGGUCGCCGCUUCUAUUGUCGCAACGUGAGUGUCACAACCCACUCUCUUCAUAGUUACUUUGUGACAUUCUCCCCCACUUAAAAUAGUCAUCGUCCUCGAUGACAUAUUGGGGGCACAACCAUUGUUGGGUUGUGACACUGUACACGUGUCUUGAUUUAUGCAUCAUAACAUCCAAAUUUGUCAUCA